CUAUAAUGCAGUCGAGCGACGGACGAGAAGCUUGCUUCUCUGAUGUUAGCGGCGGACGGGUGAGUAACACGUGGAUAACCUACCUAUAAGACUGGGAUAACUUCGGGAAACCGGAGCUAAUACCGGAUAAUAUUUUGAACCGCAUGGUUCAAAAGUGAAAGACGGUCUUGCUGUCACUUAUAGAUGGAUCCGCGCUGCAUUAGCUAGUUGGUAAGGUAACGGCUUACCAAGGCAACGAUGCAUAGCCGACCUGAGAGGGUGAUCGGCCACACUGGAACUGAGACACGGUCCAGACUCCUACGGGAGGCAGCAGUAGGGAAUCUUCCGCAAUGGGCGAAAGCCUGACGGAGCAACGCCGCGUGAGUGAUGAAGGUCUUCGGAUCGUAAAACUCUGUUAUUAGGGAAGAACAUAUGUGUAAGUAACUGUGCACAUCUUGACGGUACCUAAUCAGAAAGCCACGGCUAACUACGUGCCAGCAGCCGCGGUAAUACGUAGGUGGCAAGCGUUAUCCGGGAAUUAUUGGGCGUAAAGCGCGCGUAGGCGGUUUUUUAAGUCUGAUGUGAAAGCCCACGGCUCAACCGUGGAGGGUCAUUGGAAACUGGAAAACUUGAGUGCAGAAGAGGAAAGUGGAAUUCCAUGUGUAGCGGUGAAAUGCGCAGAGAUAUGGAGGAACACCAGUGGCGAAGGCGACUUUCUGGUCUGUAACUGACGCUGAUGUGCGAAAGCGUGGGGAUCAAACAGGAUUAGAUACCCUGGUAGUCCACGCCGUAAACGAUGAGUGCUAAGUGUUAGGGGGUUUCCGCCCCUUAGUGCUGCAGCUAACGCAUUAAGCACUCCGCCUGGGGAGUACGACCGCAAGGUUGAAACUCAAAGGAAUUGACGGGGACCCGCACAAGCGGUGGAGCAUGUGGUUUAAUUCGAAGCAACGCGAAGAACCUUACCAAAUCUUGACAUCCUUUGACAACUCUAGAGAUAGAGCCUUCCCCUUCGGGGGACAAAGUGACAGGUGGUGCAUGGUUGUCGUCAGCUCGUGUCGUGAGAUGUUGGGUUAAGUCCCGCAACGAGCGCAACCCUUAAGCUUAGUUGCCAUCAUUAAGUUGGGCACUCUAAGUUGACUGCCGGUGACAAACCGGAGGAAGGUGGGGAUGACGUCAAAUCAUCAUGCCCCUUAUGAUUUGGGCUACACACGUGCUACAAUGGACAAUACAAAGGGCAGCGAAACCGCGAGGUCAAGCAAAUCCCAUAAAGUUGUUCUCAGUUCGGAUUGUAGUCUGCAACUCGACUACAUGAAGCUGGAAUCGCUAGUAAUCGUAGAUCAGCAUGCUACGGUGAAUACGUUCCCGGGUCUUGUACACACCGCCCGUCACACCACGAGAGUUUGUAACACCCGAAGCCGGUGGAGUAACCUUUUAGGAGCUAGCCGUCGAAGGUGGGACAAAUGAUUGGGGUGAAGUCGUAAAAGG
rnacentral:rRNA from 1 species